rnacentral:rRNA from 1 species
AUGGAGUAUCUGAUGCAGCCAAUCGGAAGAUCCGCUCUGCUAGAAGAAGUAGGAGAGAGCUUGGUGCCGGCCCCUGCGCCUGCGAAUGUCGGUAUGGUGGUGGAGCAAGAGGUGGCGGAGCAGCAACGGCCGGUGGGUAGCGCGGACGCGCAGAUUAUGGUGGCGAAGGAAGCGGCGGCGGACAGGAGGGAGAGCUCGCCUCCGACGUCAGAGCUCUCAAUUGGGAAGAUAAUCCCCGGGCGUCCGGAUGGAACAAGAGAUGAGGAUUGGUGUUGCAACACUGAGCAGAACCCCUCGCCCAAAUCUCAUCAGUGCAUUGAGAAGGCUGUUAGGUGUUAUGCUGACAACCCAGGUGAAAAUGUCAUCAUACCAGUUCUUGGGACUUCUUUUGACUCUUUCGGCAAGGCAUACAACUUGUACAAUCUGUACUCAUGUGAGAAGGGCUUUGACAUCCGAUAUGGAAAGAGCCGGCUUAAUGUCGAGAGGACGAAAUGCAUGCAGGAAUAG